GCCUGUAUAGCUCAUCGGUAGAGCGCCCGCCCGACACGCGGGAGGUACGGGGGUCAGCACCCUGUACAGGCA
rnacentral:tRNA from 3 species